rnacentral:rRNA from 1 species
GACGAACGCUGGCGGCGUGCUUAACACAUGCAAGUCGAACGGAAAGGCCCUGCUUUUGUGGGGUGCUCGAGUGGCGAACGGGUGAGUAACACGUGAGUAACCUGCCCUUGACUUUGGGAUAACUUCAGGAAACUGGGGCUAAUACCGGAUAGGAGCUCCUGCUGCAUGGUGGGGGUUGGAAAGUUUCGGCGGUUGGGGAUGGACUCGCGGCUUAUCAGCUUGUUGGUGGGGUAGUGGCUUACCAAGGCUUUGACGGGUAGCCGGCCUGAGAGGGUGACCGGCCACAUUGGGCCUGAGGUACGGCCCAGACUCCUACGGGAGGCAGCAGUGGGGAAUAUUGCACAAUGGGCGGAAGCCUGAUGCAGCAACGCCGCGUGCGGGAUGACGGCCUUCGGGUUGUAAACCGCUUUCGCCUGUGACGAAGCGUGAGUGACGGUACUGGGUAAAGAAGCACCGGCUAACUACGUG